UACGAAGGGGGCGAGCGUUGUUCGGAUUUACUGGGCGUAAAGGGCGCGCAGGCGGCUCAUUUUGUCAGGCGUGAAAGCCCCGGGCUUAACCUGGGAACUGCGUUUGAUACGGAUGGGCUAGAGUUCGGGAGAGGAGAGUGGAAUUCCCAGUGUAGAGGUGAAAUUCGUAGAUAUUGGGAAGAACACCGGUGGCGAAGGCGGCUCUCUGGACCGAGACUGACGCUGAGGCGCGAAAGCAUGGGGAGCAAACAGG
rnacentral:rRNA from 1 species